GGGAACUAUGAUGCUGCCCAGAGGGCCCUGGGGGUGUCUGGGCUGCAGAAAAGAUCAGCUUGGUGAUCCAUCUCCUCCUUGCCUGCCUCCAUCACAGCGAUGCCAGAGAGGGUAUCCAGAAACUCAUGGGCCACGGAGCGGAGACUCAUUGGCCGACCAGGCUGCCAACGAAUGGGGCGGAGUGGCAAGGACCCCAAUCACUUCAGACCUGCCAGGCUGCCCUGACAAGUACUGAGCUUCCUCUUCUCUCUGCUCUCAGGGACUGGGCUGCGGGCCCCUGUGGGCAGGGACACGGAGUUACUGAGUUCUGUGUGCACAGAAGCUGGUUGAGGGCACACAAUAGGGUCUAAUAAAAUGCUUAAGAGAUAGAAUGUGUUGAA